UCCUCCUCUCUCAAACUCUCCUCUCAUCUCUCUCCUCAGGCCGAAUCGCUCCAUGUCCACGAAAGACAUCGUCCGGGCCUCUCGCCUACUCGACAACGAGAUCUGCGUCUUCAAAACAUGCAACCCUAGGUCGGAUCCCCGCACCCUGGAUCCGCAUGCUGCCCCUUCAGCAUAGGCGCAGGCUUGCGCGGCUCUUCCAGGCUCCACGGAUGUGUGCGCUAACCUGCACCACUCCGCCCCGCGUCUCAGGUGUUGCCGCAUGCCGUGCAGGAGCUACGAGCAGAGGAGCAACAAAUUGGGGAGUGGGUGACCAAGGGCAGCAGCAACAAAUGUCCAAUUCUCUGGGUGUGCUUAGCUACUGAAGCAAAAAAAAUUGGUGUUCUAUGCAUCGACAUGCGUUGAGUAGCUACUGAAGCAAAUUUUUCUUUGCAGUAUAUUGUCAAAUUCGCAUGAUGUAUAGCUCUGUUCCUAGUUAUCUUUCAUGCUGUAUCAUAUUCUUUUCGAUCUUUCAAUAUGUAUUAGUGCCGAGUAAUCAUGAUUAUCCAUGAUUUUUCUUUCUUUCUAGAAAAAUGGCAACAUUACUAGCU